rnacentral:rRNA from 1 species
CCCUUAGAUGUUCUGGGCCGCACGCGCGCUACACUGAUGCAUUCAACGAGUUUUUCCUUGGCCGAGAGGCCUGGGCAAUCUUUUAAACGUGCAUCGCGAUAGGGAUAGAUUAUUGCAAUUAUUAAUCUUGAACGAGGAAUUCCUAGUAAACGCAGAUCAUCAAUCUGCAUUGAUUACGUCCCUGCCCUUUGUACACACCGCCCGUCGCACCUACCGAUUGAAUGGUCCGGUGAAGCCUCGGGAUUGUGGCGAGUUCCCUUUAUUGGGAGUUUGUCGCGAGAACUUGUCUAAACCUUAUCAUUUAGAGGAAGGUGAAGUCGUAACA